rnacentral:lncRNA from 1 species
UUUUGAAACUCUACUGUUUUUGUGUAGAAAUAAAAUACGUUAAGAUUCCAUGCGGGUAAAUCGACAGGAGACCCCCGGAAGAACAGGCGCCUCCCUGCCAGGCAGCCCACCCGGCCUGCCUCCUGUGCGCUGGCCUCUGAGGCCUCCGGCGUGGGGACUGGCAGGAGGCCCGCUGGGGCGGAGAGAGAAUUCUGGAGCUUGAGGGGAGGAAGGUGUGACGAAGCCUGGGUCCCUGUCCCUAAGGGGUCCUGACGCUCUGGGCCCCGCCCUGAGUCCACGACUGGCCUCCCCUUUGUGACGAGAGCAGGCCCUGCAUCAUCAGCAACCAGCGCUCCCUCCAGCCUCCGCGCAUUUCAGCUGGCGCUGCAGCUGCUGCACAGACCCACAGAAGCCACCCUCGGAACCAGCGCCCGAUGAGAAGGCGGGACCUGCGCUCCUCCACACCAAGCCAGGCGCUGGGGCUGUAUGGUGUUCAGUGCCUCCUGCGUCUUGAGGGGCCAGUUACAUAAGAGUGCACGAAGUAGACCCAAUUCUGAGACUGAAGUUACCAAAGGAGGGGAGUGUCUCAUUGACAAAAGAGCACUUUCAGUGUCUGCAGUUCAAAGAGCCCAACCCUCUCUCUGUGGCCCCAACCUCGUUAAGGAGCUGCUCACAGAACCCCACCCACCGGCCACACCUGAAACACCGGCUCCCACCUCAGGAAGCUUUUGGCAGUGCAAGGUGGAGAUCAAGACCUUGCUGAUAUAAUCAGAAAGUUUCUUGGUAGUUUACAUAGUAUUAGCACAAUUACACUUUGACCCACUUCAGAGACAAGCAUGACUCAACAGUGUGACUUCCCAGUGAGGCUGAAAACCCUCACUGAGGCCCUGAAGAC